CUUUCCUCCAAGUUCUACUAACGAGCAAGAGGGGAAAUCGUGAAACCUACAGUUUCUGACUACAGAAAUGCCGUUAAGAGGACUGCUGACUUCCCGAACAACUCGAGUGGUAUUGGGAGGGUAAAGUCUACCUGAGAGGAUGCAAGUACCUUGGAUAUUUAAAAUAAAAGCAGACUGUGUUUUAAAGGCAAGUGAUGUAAAAUUUGUGAUUAAGAAUACUUUUAGAUGUUUAUUA